GUGCCAGCCGCCGCGGUAAGACGUAGGUGGCGAACGUUAUCCGGAAUUAUUGGGCGUAAAGGGUGCGUAGAUGGCCUAGCAAGUUGUCAGUGGGAAAUCGAGGCUCAACCUCGUGGAAGCUGGUAAUACUGCCAGGCUCGAGUACAGGAGAGGUUAACGGAACUCCAUGUGGAGGGGUAAAAUCACAUAGAUAUAUGGAAGAACACCAAUAACGGCGAAGGCAGUUAACUAUUCUGUUACUGACAUUGAGGCACGAAAGCGUGGGGAGCAAAACGGAUUAGAAACCCCCGUAGUCC
rnacentral:rRNA from 1 species